CUUCCUCCCAAACCCAAAAUUCCAACUGACCAAUACUCCAUGUAAGGCUGGACACGGUUUGAUGCUUCUCCUACUGAAGGAUCAGAUUCAGCACAGCAUAGUUUGCAAAAAGCCAAAGCAGCCCUACUGUGUUUCAAUUUUGUGAAUGAUCUGAAACAGCCUUUAACUAUCAGGCCAGUGCUUUUCCUCCAGCGCUGCUCCUCGCCCCUUAGAGCAGCGGUGACCAGCUUCCGUCUUGAUGGAGGAGUGGAAGACUUUAGAGCUGCUGCUGACUGACCCGACUUCGCCUCACACAGCUCUGGGACCGUCUGGGCGCUCUUGGGAUGGAGAGCAAGACCAGUUAUGAUUACAGACACCUUGAGCCCCUGCGGCUCGCCCAGCCCCACGCUGGCUCAGGAGGAAGGAGUGGUUGCCCUGGACCCAGUCAUGAAAAGGAUGCUUAGGUUCUCAUACCUUCAUGUUACUCAGAGAAACUAGCGCCUGUAUUCUUCCUUCCUCCCACAGGACACAGAGCUGUGCCUCCUGUGAGGCCCUGUGCACUACCUUAGUGCUCAAGACCCAGACUUACCCGCAUGAAAAAAAAAACAAAACUGUUUUUGGAGGGGGUCUGGCAUGUGACUUGCUUUGGGCCGGACCUCUGUGCCCCAGGACGUUUGCAUCACUGUUAUUGUGGCCAUGUGCCCUUGUUGGUUUGGGGUCUCUUGGGUGUACAUACCGCCUGGCUACCUAGAUGACCUUGAACAAUUGCCUGGAGUGUCUUGGCACCGAUACCAUUUAUUACGCUUUGUUUCCCAGCCCUAAUGUCAGAUGUAGGUUGAUUUUAGUUGCUUUAUACAUUCAGGCAUUGUCACCAAGCUCAACAUAAUUAACUUCAGAGCUGCCCAAGUUUCAUGCAUUGCCGUUUGCUCGGUAGCUUUAGUUUUUACUCUCUGUUUUGGGGAAAAAAAUAAAAACACGUUGUAAUAAG